rnacentral:rRNA from 1 species
AGCAGUGGGAAUAUUGGACAAUGGGGGGAACCCUGAUCCAGCCAUGCCGCGUGUGUGAAGAAGGCCUUUUGGUGUAAAGCACUUUAAGCGAGGAGGAGGCUACCUAGAUUAAUACUUUAGGAUAGUGGACGUUACUCGCAGAAUAAGCACCGGCUAACUCUGUGCCAGCAGCCGCGGUAAUACAGAGGGUGCGAGCGUUAAUCGGAUUUACUGGGCGUAAAGCGUGCGUAGGCGGCCAAUUAAGUCAAAUGUGAAAUCCCCCGAGCUUAACUUGGGAAUUGCAUUCGAUACUGGUUGGCUAGAGUAUGGGAGAGGAUGGUAGAAUUCCAGGUGUAGCGGUGAAAUGCGUAGAGAUCUGGAGGAAUACCGAUGGCGAAGGCAGCCAUCUGGCCUAAUACUGACGCUGACGGUACGAAAGCAUGGGGAGCGAACAGGAUUAGAUACCCUGGUAG